AUACGGAGGGUGCAAGCGUUACUCGGAAUCACUGGGCGUAAAGCGCGCGCAGGCGGCUUGAUAAGUUGGAUGUGAAAGCCUACGGCUCAACCGUAGAACUGCAUCCAAAACUGUCAGGCUAGAGUGUGGGAGAGGAAGAUGGAAUUAGUUGUGUAGGGGUAAAAUCCGUAGAGAUAACUAGGAAUACCAAAAGCGAAGGCAAUCUUCUGGAACACUACUGACGCUGAGGCGCGAAGGCGUGGGGAGCAUACAGGAUUAGAAACCCUUGUAGUCC
rnacentral:rRNA from 1 species